CUACAAUGACUGCUUAUGUUGCCGUGCCUCAAGAAGAACAGCAUCCCGUUGCAAUUCUGUUAGAAGAGAACUUGUAAUAACUGCUAAUGAAUGACGUGGUGAUUAAAAAUGACUUGUCAAGUGAUCAUGCACUGAUUAACACAUUAGUAGUUUAUGCAGGUACAAUAUAAGGUUUUCAUCCUUUUACUUUUGUAGUUUUCAUUUUAAAUAUAAGGUGUUCAUCCUUUUAUUUUUUGUAGUUUAGUUUUAUUGUUUUCUCUUGAUUAUUCCUUUUGUUAUUUCAUUUACCAUGCUUUUCUUUGUUCUUUUUAUUCUUUUAUUUGUUUUAUUCUUUAGAACACAUGAUUUCCAUUUCUGCUAUGCUGACAUUUUGAAGAUUAAAAAAUUGCUUAAGAUACUUAAUAAAUAACCUUCACAGACAAUUGUUGUAUACAUUUAAAAUAAGUUAAAACAGGAGGGAAUGUUACAGGAAAAAUGAUUCUAUGUUUCUUUACCUUCUUUUAAAUGUGCAAAGAUGCCCUUUGUCUUCCCUUUGUCUAUGGUUAGAUUAGUUUAGAAUUAUCCUUUUAGACUUUCUCAGCAAAGACAUACUGUUUUGGGACAUAUUGUUUUAGAUUGUUU
ensembl:lncRNA